GAAGGAAUUUCCAUUGAUUUCGAAAAAAAAUAAGUGUGUGUGUUUUUAUUAUACUCCAGGCUGUAGAACAAUGACAUUGUUCAUGCAUCACUUUGAAGCACAUUUUAAGCCAUGUGAUGACUUGGGUCAGUGCUGCUCUCUUCUGCAAUGAUGGAGGAGUGGUGUGAGUUGGUGACCUAUUCCACUACAUAGAUAUUCUGCACUCUUUGGCAUUCUCGGCAGUUUGGCACUUGAUAUGUGUGCUAAAACUCCACCAUUAUUACUGAGUGAUAACACCUCAGCCUAAAGAUGUGUUCAAGUUGGAUGCAGGUGACAUUUCGCCUUGCACACUUUAUUGUUGGUAAGAUUUUUGAAACGCACAACAUCUACUAUUGUUGUAUAUGACUGUACAUGUAAUGUCAAGUUGCAGAUGAUUUAGUCCCUAUAGUCAGACUUUUAACUAUGUGUAUGCUCUCCCACAGCAGGAGCAGUGGUAUACCAGUACCCAGGGUCACUAACAGUGGCAGAGGGUACCAAUGUGACGUUUCACUGUGACAUCAGUGAAAUGGGAGGGGAAUGCUCUUAUAUCGUAUGGGUGCAAGUGGGACCUAUGAGAAAGCUCAUACUCUGGCCUCGAAAAACCUACAGUGUCCACACCAACACGGCCUGCCUCCUGAACAUCAUUAAUGCCAACGGGACAAGUGUGGGCAUCUUCUAAUGUGCUCUGCUUAACGGUGCCAUGCUGAACGUGGGCAAUGGGAGUGUGCUGAAAGUCUCUGGUAAGAUCAGAUGCUUCUCCAUGCUUUAUAUUAGUGUUCAUAUUUUCUAAUCCUGGGAGGUAUACAUUUGGUAGUUAUGCCAUGUCAUGUAAUGUCCUCUAUCUUUCAGACCCUAUCACCUCUGACGCUACGCUGGAGGUCCUGGUGCCCGUGGACUGGCAGGAGGCCUCCUCAUCCCCAGUCCCACUACUGUGCCUGGUGUCUGGACUGGAUCUCAGUCAGGCUAGGGUGUACUGGGAGGUGGAGGGAAAGGUUCAGUCCUCAGAGCGUUUACCUGAGGUUCUGUCAGAGAAGCCAGCCAGUGUCAGAGUCCACAUUCCUGUACCUGGCCAUACCUGGGCUGAAGGUAAAGAGAUUACCUGUGUUAUGGAGAGUACCAGUGGGGUGAAGAUGAGCAAGACAGUCAGCAGGAUGGGAAUGGAGAGGUCCAGACAGGGAAUGUUUCUGGCCAUCUCUUUGGGCGGCAUGUGUAUCCUUCUUUCUAUUGUGGUGAUUGUCAUCACAUUGUAUGUCUGCAGACUGAGACACAACCCUCGUAAGUACUGUUUGUAUUUCAUUAGUUAUUCAUGAUUGAUAACUUUACCACAUCUAUAGCAGCAGUAUAUUAUAUAGGCUAUUAAUUGUAUCUUUAACAUAUUGUAUCAUAAUAUUUCCAAAGGAAAGAAAAUAUUUCAAGCCUAUGAGCACAACCAGGACGGAGCACAGGUAAAAUAACUUUUUUCUAAAUGUUUGUGUAUUAUACCAUUAUAAGUAUUAUUUUUGUGAGAUUUUACUAUUACUACGUUUUCUAUUAUUACUAUUUGUAAUGAUGAUGAUGAUGGUGUUUCCUUGUCAUUCAGGGUCUGACUGAGGUGCAGUAUGACAGUUUGAAGUUUGGAGCUGGUCGUGGGAGACCCUUCCUACAACCGCAGCUAAAAAAUAAGUAGGCUAAAGCUGCCCUUGUAAGACCUGCCCUUGUGAGUCAAUGAUUUAAGGAUUCUUGCUUUUAGAAUAAGGAAUUUAUGCUGUCGGAUUGUGUAGUCAUUUUACAAGCUUUGUGAUUGAAAACCAUUCGUCUUGUUGAAAUAAUAGCCAAAUGUAAAUUACAUUAAAGACAAAUACAAGUUUCAUUUAUGGAGUGAAGUAAUUUCUCUAGUCAUAUGCUGAUGAGAUUUUUGUGAUAAUAGUCAGCUAUAAAAAUGGGUCACAGAUGGAAUCUUUUUCAUCUUCAACAUUAAUAGUACAUCCUGUUUGUUUCACAUAAUGCUCAGCAAGUACAACAGCACAUCCUCCAUUUGAUGGUAAGCUUUUUUGUCCAAAUGCUCUGCCUCUUAGUAUUUCAAAAUGUCUCACAAGUUCGGUGCGUUCUAUAACUUAAAUGAUUGAGCAUCUUUCAUCUCUGUGAUGUUGCAACACAAACCCACAGAUUUACAUCAUUUUAGCAGACGCUCUUACCCAAAUAUAAAUGGUGUUUGACCUUAAGCUAUUUGAAAGUGGUACUAAUUCAUGUAUUAUCUAUACAGAAUUCAUAUUCUGUGUUAUUAGUUUAUGGUUCCCAUACACCAUUGUAAGGAAGGAAGGAAUGGUGAUCUUUGGCUCCUGCCCCCCGUCCUGAUAGGAAUGAGUGAACUCCUUUUCUCCUGCUCGGUUUGAUGAUGUCAUGGCUUGUGCAUGUCUCUCUGGCAUGGGCUCUUUGCGCUGCUAAGCUGUUUGUUGCAAAACAGACACAGCAUUAUUUAAUUUUUUAAGAGCUCCGUCGGGUGGGUUAAAACAUUGCUUUUAGGUGGAUCAUUCUCC
rnacentral:lncRNA from 13 species